rnacentral:lncRNA from 1 species
CCCUCAAAUAUGAACUAAAACCACUUCAACAAUAACCAAUUUUCUUCAAAUCAAAAAAUAUAAUAUGAAUAGGGUAUGAUAGUCCCUCAAAAUAUAAACUAUUCAAAUAAAAUGCUGGCAAAUCAACAUUUAAUUGCUUUACAACCAACGAUCCUCAAAUAUACUAAAGAUAGCAAAUAUCUAAUGAGCCCUUAAUGAACUUUUUUGAUUUAAGAUACUUGUAUUCCAAAAGAACACAUAAUGUAUAAUCUGAUAAAGGAUGUCAUACAACCUAUGAUGCGUGGCUCAAUUCGGUGGUUUGACAAGCUUCAAAGCUGCUCAAUUCGACUGCUAUCUGUCUGAUAAAGAAAAAGGUAAAAAAUAUAUGAGCUUAAAGUUCAAUGAGUGGAUGAUUUGCAAAUAAGUAAACUUUUCUCAUUUAAGCAUAUUUUCUAAAAAUUCUUGCUCUAUGAAAACUUUGAGAAAUUCUGAAAACUAGUAGCACUUUGAAAACAGAAACAUGAUUGGAUCAUAAAAUUCUUUGUUCUUUAUUCUAGUUCAUUAACUAUAAAAUAUGAUGAAUAUAAAUAAUCUAACAUCCAUGAAAAUCUAUAAAAUAUUGAUGUUGUUCAAUACUAUAAGCUGGAAGCUUUAUUCUUAGAACUGAAUAGACUGAAUUAUAUCAUCUAAAAUCUGAUAAGCUGUAGAAAUACUGAAAAAUCACACCAAAAAGAUACCCAAUGAAUAGCUUUGCUCAUGUACAGAGUAAUCUCGAUAUACAAGGCAAAGUCAUUCUAAUCUGAUAAUCUAGUCAUACGUAUGCAGAGCUGUCCCAAAAGCUAAUCACCCUAGUACACAGCCUAAAGCGUAUGUGAGUAUGAGAGAGGGUCCCAAAGACCUCUAAUAAUCUGGUCAUAUACUAUAGAACACAUUCACAAUAGUACAGAGUGGUUAAGAUCACCAUAACUGGUCAUACACCGUGGAAAUACAUUCACACUAGUGCAAAGCGGGUAAAAUAACCUUAACUGAUCAUACACUAUGGAAAUACAUUCACAUAAGUGCAGACUAGAGUAAAAUCACCUGGAUACUUUAUGGUGGUUUUACAAAGAACUUUAAAUAUGCUGAAAUAUUUAAUACUAAAAUAAUACGAUAAUG